rnacentral:rRNA from 1 species
AGUGUGGGAUAACAGUUCGAAAGGACUGCUAAUACCGCAUGUGGUUAUUGGAUUUAGAAACUGAUAACUAAAGGAGCAAUUCGCUUUGGGAGGGACCUGCGUCCCAUCAGCUAGUUGGUGAGGUAAUGGCUCACCAAGGCUACGACGGGUAGGGGACCUGAGAGGGUGACCCCCCACAAUGGAACUGAAACACGGUCCAUACACCUACGGGUGGCAGCAGUAGGGAAUAUUGCACAAUGGGCGAAAGCCUGAUGCAGCAACGCCGCGUGUGCGAUGAAGGCCCUCGGGUCGUAAAGCACUUUUCUGAGGGAUGAGCAAGGACAGUACCUCAGGAAUAAGUCUCGGCUAACUACGUGCCAGCAGCCGCGGUAAAACGUAGGAGGCAAGCGUUAUCCGGAUUCACUGGGCGUAAAGCGCGUACAGGCGGUUCGGUAAGUUGGGCGUGAAAUCUCCUGGCUUAACUAGGAGAGGUCGUUCAAUACUACCGGACUUGAGAGUGA